rnacentral:lncRNA from 1 species
UGGUGAUGGGAUUAAUUUCUGGGUGGUCUUUGGCCAAUCAUUCUAAUUCAGAGUCCUUCCUGGUGGCGCACGCAUGGCUCAGCCAAGAUGGAUGCUAGCCAGAGGGUUCUGGGAAGUGGAUGGACAUGCGGUGUUUCCUUUUGACCUUUCCCGAACUCUUCCGGUUGGUGGUGGCUUAUUAGUUCCGUAUUCCUUAUCAGGAUCUGCUGUCAUAAAACAACUCAUGUAAAUGGUUACUAUGUCCCCUGGCCAGGGUGGGCGGUUUCAAUCAGUGUGCUUCCCCUAACAAUUUCAUGAGUGGUAAAUGAAAUGUUCCUCGAAGAGAGAGAUGAUAGAGGAAGACACAGGAAAAGCACAACCGAAUCGCCAAACGUCACCCGCAUUGCAAAACCGGAGGAAUUUUCAGAAGCAAUGAGAGAGACCAGCCCAACCCAGCUCUCCCUCAGAGCUACAACAUAAGGACGUUCUCAAUAAACUUGGAGUUAAGAAACAGCCACAGAUUGGACCAGAUGGCCAGAUCUGCAGCCUGCAGCCCAGGAGACAAGCUCCUUCAGGAAGAGCUUCUCCAAAGGCAGAAUCCCAACCUGACCAGCUCCCUGUCUUCUGUGCUGCAAUCUAAAGGAAUGUCCUCACUCCGGACCACCCAUUCACCUGGGAGGAGUAGGAGGAAGCAGCCACGAAAAAAGAAGAGAACCUCAGGCUGCCCGGAAGCCCUCACAGUGAAGGGGCCAGAGAAAGGGUGUGUUUGAGUCCCCACCAUGAGACGUAUCCAUGGGAACUCAGCUAACCAAAGAUAUACAUAUAUAUUCCGGUUUGGCUAAGAUGUCGGCCAAUGGAAACCUACUCUCCUCCUCGUGAAGAACCGUGACAUACAAGAGAAAUACAAAGAACUUAGUAAAUAGACUGCGAAGACAGGCCAAGGAAGUGUGGGAAGAAUGGAUUCUUGUUUCGUUCCACUUUGAAAGCAAAAUACAGC